rnacentral:rRNA from 1 species
GAUGAACGCUGGCGGCGUGCCUAAUACAUGCAAGUCGAGCGAACAGACGAGGAGCUUGCUCCUCUGACGUUAGCGGCGGACGGGUGAGUAACACGUGGAUAACCUACCUAUAAGACUGGGAUAACUUCGGGAAACCGGAGCUAAUACCGGAUAAUAUAUUGAACCGCAUGGUUCAAUAGUGAAAGACGGUUUUGCUGUCACUUAUAGAUGGAUCCGCGCCGCAUUAGCUAGUUGGUAAGGUAACGGCUUACCAAGGCAACGAUGCGUAGCCGACCUGAGAGGGUGAUCGGCCACACUGGAACUGAGACACGGUCCAGACUCCUACGGGAGGCAGCAGUAGGGAAUCUUCCGCAAAGGGCGAAAGCCUGACGGAGCAACGCCGCGUGAGUGAUGAAGGUCUUCGGACCGUAAAACUCUGUUAUUAGGGAAGAACAAAUGUGUAAGUAACUAUGCACGUCCUGACGGUACCUAAUCAGAAAGCCACGGCUAACUACGUG